rnacentral:piRNA from 1 species
UAUACUUGUUAUUCUCAAAGAGACUC